rnacentral:rRNA from 1 species
GCCAGACUCCUACGGGAGGCAGCAGUGGGGGAUAUUGCACAAUGGGGGAAACCCUGAUGCAGCGACGCCGCGUGAGUGAAGAAGUAUUUCGGUAUGUAAAGCUCUAUCAGCAGGGAAGAAAAAGGACGGUACCUGACUAAGAAGCCCCGGCUAACUACGUGCCAGCAGCCGCGGUAAUACGUAGGGGGCAAGCGUUAUCCGGAUUUACUGGGUGUAAAGGGAGCGUAGACGGCGAUGCAAGCCAGAUGUGAAAGCCCGCGGCUCAACUGCGGUAGUGCAUUUGGAACUGUAUGGCUGGAGUGCAGGAGAGGCAGGCGGAAUUCCUAGUGUAGCGGUGAAAUGCGUAGAUAUUAGGAGGAACACCAGUGGCGAAGGCGGCCUGCUGGACUGUAACUGACGUUGAGGCUCGAAAGCGUGGGGAGCAAACAGGAUUAGAUACCCCGGUAU